UACGCCCUAAACGAUCUUCUCUCGCUUUUUGGAGUAUCGACCCUCUGAGAGGCUAAGCAAACGCGUUAAGAGAAGCGCCUGGGAAGUACGGCCGCAAGGCUAAAACUCAAAGGAAUAGACGGGGACUUGCACAAGCAGUGGAUUAUGUGGUUUAAUUCGAUGAUAAACGAAGAACCUCACCAGGGUUUGAAACCUACGUGAAAGCUCCGAGAAACCGGAGCCCUCGCAAGACUAGUAGGCAGGUGC
rnacentral:rRNA from 1 species